rnacentral:rRNA from 1 species
GACGAACGCUGGCGGCGUGCUUAACACAUGCAAGUCGAACGGAGAGGCCCGGCUUUUGUUGUUUCCGGAAGUGUCGAACGGGGGAGUAACACGUGAGUGUCCUGCCCUUGGCUUUGGGGGAACUUCAUUAAACUGGGUCGCUUACCGGGAAUAAACGCCGGUGUCGUGUGGUGGCUUGGAAAAUGUUGGCGUUGCGGCAUGGCCUUGCGGCUUAGCGUCUUAUUGGUGGGGUAGUGGAGUACCAAGGCUCUGACGGGUAGCCGGCCUGAGAGGGUGACCGGCCACAUUGGGACUGAGGUACGGCCCAGACUACUACGGGAGGCAGCAGUGGGAAAUAUAGCACACUGGGCGGAGGCAUGAUGCAGGAACUCCGCGUGCGGGAUGACGGUUUUAGGAUUGUAAACCGCUUUCGCCUGUGAAGAAGCGUGAGUGACGGUAAUGGGUAAAGAAGCAACGGCUAACUACGUG